GCAGAAAUAAAAGAUAUGAAUAUAAUUGUAAACUAAAUGGGUUCUGUAAGAGGACAGAUAAUUAUACCGUUGUAGAAUUUUUACCUAGGGAAGUAUCUAGGUUGUCGAUUUAUAUUUAUACCACUGGGAAGGCUAAGGGUUAAACUAUAUUCGAUUAUAUUGAUAAAAAUGAAUAAAUGAUAUUACCUAUGUCCUAUAAUCUACUCAUAGC
rnacentral:lncRNA from 1 species